rnacentral:tRNA from 1 species
GCGAUUUUAGCUCAGUGGUUUCAAUCGAGAAGAGCAUCUGUUUUACACGCAGAAUGUCGAGAGUUCGACUCUCUCAAAUCGUA